GCCGCUCAGAAACUUAAAGGACUUGACGGGGGCCCGCACAAGCGGUGGAGCAUGUGGUUUAAUUCGAUGAUACGCGAGGAACCUUACCUGGGCUCAAAUGUAUGUUGACGUAUUCUGAAAGGGAUACUUCUUCGGACAAUAUACAAGGUGCUGCAUGGUUGUCGUCAGCUCGUGCCGUGAGGUGUCGGGUUAAGUCCCAUAACGAGCGCAACCCCUAUCAUUAGUUGCCAUCAGGUCAAGCUGGGGACUCUAAUGAAACUGCCUACGCAAGUAGUGAGGAAGGUGGGGAUGACGUCAAAUCAGCACGGCCCUUACGUCCAGGGCUACACACGUGCUACAAUGGCCGGUACAACGGGAAGCGAAGGGGAGACCUGGAGCGGAUCCUCAUAAAGCCGUUCCCAGUUCGGAUUGGAGUCUGCAACCCGACUCCAUGAAGCUGGAAUCGCUAGUAAUCGCGGAUCAGCCAAGCCGCGGUGAAUACGUUCCCGGGCCUU
rnacentral:rRNA from 1 species